UACAGAGGGUGCGAGCGUUACUCGGAAUUACUGGGCGUAAAGGGCGCGUAGGCGGCCAUUCAAGUCGGGGGUGAAAGCCUGUGGCUCAACCACAGAAUUGCCUUCGAUACUGUUUGGCUUGAGACCGGAAGAGGUUAGUGGAACUGCGAGUGUAGAGGUGAAAUUCGUAGAUAUUCGCAAGAACACCAGUGGCGAAGGCGGCUAACUGGUCCGGUUCUGACGCUGAGGCGCGAAAGCGUGGGGAGCAAACAGG
rnacentral:rRNA from 1 species